UGUUGCGCGUGUGUUGACUAAUAUGUACUAAAUACACACACACACUCACUACAAGCGACCAAUAAUGUUCAACAUGGAUGCUCGAACCGUUAAAUAACCAACAAAACUCAACAGCAGUGCAAGCAACAAACAAUGGAUGCGAAAUCUAGGAAAACAAUUUAUUCAAAACUGCAUAUUCGAGCAAAUUACUUAUAGAUAAGCAAUAUUUUUUCUGGUUGCGUGAGAAACUUUGAACACAAAGAAAGAAACUUGAAAAUCUAUUACUGAAGCAAUUGAAAAAGGCUUAAGAAACUAAACAAAAAAAAAAAAACGGAAUAUUUAUACCAAA